GACGAACGCUGGCGGCGUGCUUAACACAUGCAAGUCGAACGAAGUGGCGAACGGGUGAGUAACGCGUAAUCAACCUGCUCUUCUGAGGGGGACAACAGUUGGAAACGACUGCUAAUACCCCAUACUGAAGGAGGGGAUUGCGUCUGAUUAGCUAGUUGGGGGGGUAACGGCCCACCAAGGCGAAGUUCAGUAGCCGGUCUGAGAGGAUGAACGGCCAAAAUGGGACUGGGACCAGGCCCAGACUCCUACGGGAGGGAGGAGUGGGGGAUCUUCCGAAAUGGACGAAAGUCUGACGGAGCAAAGCCGCGUGAGUGAUGACGGCCUUCGGGUUGUAAAGCUCUGUUAAUCGGGACGCGGUACCGGAAUAGAAAGCCACGGCUAACUACGUGCCAGCAGCCGCGGUAAUAC
rnacentral:rRNA from 1 species